GCUGGCGGCAGGCCUAACACAUGCAAGUCGAGCGGUAACAUUUCUAGCUUGCUAGAAGAUGACGAGCGGCGGACGGGUGAGUAACGCGUAGAAAUCUACCUAGUAGUGGGGGAUAGCCCAGAGAAAUUUGGAUUAAUACCGCAUACGCCCUACGGGGGAAAGCGGGGGAUCUUCGGACCUCGUGCUAUUAGAUGAGUCUGCGUCGGAUUAGCUUGUUGGUGAGGUAAUGGCUCACCAAGGCGACGAUCCGUAGCUGGUCUGAGAGGAUGACCAGCCACACUGGAACUGAGACACGGUCCAGACUCCUACGGGAGGCAGCAGUGGGGAAUAUUGCACAAUGGGCGCAAGCCUGGUGCAGCCAUGCCGCGUGUGUGAAGAAGGCCUUAGGGUUGUAAAGCACUUUCAGCAGUGAGGAAAGGGGUGUCGUUAAUAGCGCCAUCCUGUGACGUUAACUGCAGAAGAAGGACCGGCUAACUCCGUG
rnacentral:rRNA from 1 species